UACGGAGGGAGCAAGCGUUGUUCGGAAUUACUGGGCGUAAAGCGCAUUUAGGCGGCCCAACAAGUCGAAUGUGAAAUCCCGGAGCUCAACUCCGGAACUGCAUACGAUACUGUUGGGCUCGAGUCUCGGAGAGGAUGGCGGAAUUUCCGGUGUAGAGGUGAAAUUCGUAGAUAUCGGAAGGAACACCAGUGGCGAAGGAGGCCGUCGGGACGAUGACUGACGCUGAGAUGCGAAAGCGUGGGGAGCAAACAGG
rnacentral:rRNA from 1 species